GCAGCCAAAGAAAAGAAAGAGAGAACAAAAGAAGCCACUAACAGCAAUCAGUUCAAACUCCCAAGUCAGUUUCAGACAUCUAGCAAAUCAAGAAUCUGACUCUGAUUCAGACGAACUCACUGNNNNNNNNNNNNNACAGCUAUUAUUCUGAGAGUCACGUGCUAUUCUUGGUCGCACGUUGUGGAGAAUUUGCGAUGAAGGCCUUACUCUCAUGUACUCCUCAUAGAAAGCCCUGAUCUCUUCCUCCGUAAGGCCUUCAUCUUCUCCAGCAUUUUCAUCCCAACCAAGUGAUCGUAAAAAGGCAGCCUCUUCCUCAUCUGGGUUGGGAGUUACAUCAGAGUUUGAGUCCUCUCCAUUGUCAAAUUGAUGAGUCCCACUGUAAGUGUCUCCAUUGUGGAUUAUUUUACCUCUGUUAUCACUGGACAAGCUAAUAACAGAUAUUUCUGAUGAAGAAGAAUUUCCAUCACGCUCACUAACUGAAGCAGUAGUACCUUCUGCAACUGAUUCACUAGACUUCUCUGAGAUGGAUGACAAUGAAAUAGGACUAGGAUCCGAUACCACAGGUGUGGAGUUUGUGGAGGACUUCUUCU
rnacentral:misc_RNA from 1 species